rnacentral:rRNA from 1 species
CAGCAGCCGCGGGAAUACGUAGGGUGCAAGCGUUAAUCGGAAUUACUGGGCGUAAAGCGUGCGCAGGCGGUUGUGUAAGACAGGUGUGAAAUCCCCGGGCUUAACCUGGGAAUUGCAUUUGUGACUGCACGACUAGAGUGUGUCAGAGGGGGGUGGAAUUCCACGUGUAGCAGUGAAAUGCGUAGAUAUGUGGAGGAACACCAAUGGCGAAGGCAGCCCCCUGGGAUAACACUGACGCUCAUGCACGAAAGCGUGGGGAGCAAACAGGAUUAGAUACCCCUGUAGUCCCUGUCUCUUAUAA